rnacentral:sRNA from 1 species
CUGGACCUUAAGUGCAGGACUUUUGUGUCCCUGACCACAACUCUUCUCACUCUGUCCGUCUGGAGACAGGUGUGCCCUUAUAAUGUUUCCCAGAGCUGUGGCAGUGAAGCCAUGCCUGUAGCAUCUGGGGACCACUCUGGCCCUUCUCUAUAUAUCCACAGGUAACCCUGCCAAUUAAAUCCCAGAACACACGGAGUGCAAAGAGCUUUACCGCUAUUGCCUUCUACUUCAAACUCCUCUCUGAUCUUUGUUUCUAUGGCCAAUGGAUCUUUAAAGUUAAGUUAUGUUAAUUUACGAAUACAACUUCACAAAUUGUACCCCUUCGUGUCAGUCCAUAAGGACUACUCAAAUGUUCUGCAACCAACUUUGCAGAUCACCUCGAACUUGAGCUUCACAGAGGAUCUAGACUGUGAUCAUCUGGCAGCAAGACAGGAAGAGGGUUCUUAUUAGAGAUGCUUCAGCAAUCUUAGAGUCAUUGAAGAAAUAAGAAACAUCAUGGAGAAGGACUCUCAAAACUGACAUGCUGAACUGAUAAUGGACUCUUCCAUGGAUGAAUCCUUUCAGCUCCUUACAGAUUUGGAUCAGGACUCUCUGCACUGUAUCCAGGGUAUGAAGCAGCCUUGAGUAAGUGGGGCAAUCACUUGAUAGAGAGGA